GCCAGCAGCCAUAUCACCUUGCAACUCACAGCUGACAACCCACUGAAGCUAGGCAGGUGUGAGUCUGGCCAGUACCUGGAUGGGAGACCUCCUGGGAAAGCUAAGGUUGCUGUAGGAA
rnacentral:rRNA from 1 species